GUUCGAAGUCCAGUUACAGAAGACCAGCAGUGUUGCUCUCAUCUAUAAUCUAAGAUUAAUUAAUGGACAGGUUUUUUCAUGCUGGCUAAUUAAGAAGCGGUGUUCAAGGUGGGGUCACUCUGCUUGGCGUGCGAGCCAUGGUGGUGAAACACUCAGCUUCUCUAUGGUAGUUGGAGGAGCUGACUCUGGGACCGCAGGAAGUUGCUCUAGCAGCUUUGGAUACCUUUCUUCCGGGCAUGUUGGCCUCCAGAACAGUGUGUGGCAAGCUUCACUGGACCAUGUGGAUCAUAACAAUCCAUUGACUUGACCGGAAUGGUUAUCAAACUGAUUGUUCUUUUGCAAUGGUGGCCUUAUAACUUCUGACGAUUUUGACAUCGAGCAUUGAACGUAGAACCGCCCAGGGAGAUGAGAAAGGUUCUUUCCCUGAUGUUGGGUCCAAGUUCACUCGCUGGCUGAGCUUGAAGAAAUAAACGGGUGAAAAGUAACUAUCUUUUUGUGCUGUCGUUAUUUGAUCUAGCAAAGUUACGUUUACAAAUAGACCAAACCGACAUGAAGCAGAAGAGCAUUCAAGUCAGAGAAAUGAUCAUACAGAAGUACAAAUCCAGGGAAGGGUACAAGACCACCUCAAAGGCACUGAACCUUCCUUGAAGCUCAGUGCAGUCCAUCGUAAAAAAAGUGGGGGAAAAAAAUGAAACCACAGCCACACUGCCUGCUCUUCUAAACUCAGUAGCCAAAGAAUGGUGCUUGUAACAGAGGCCACUGUGAUGCCUACUGUCAGUCUGGGUGAGCUGUAGAAGUCAGUGGCUGCAACUGGAGAUGAAGUACAUGACAUGGUGAGAUGAGACUAAAAAGGAACAUUUUGGUCUCAACAUUAAGCUGAACGUGUGGCUUAAUUCUAACACUGUGCAUCCCUACUGUAAAAUAUGGUGGAGAGAUCCUGGAUAAAAACCUGCUAGCCUCUGCCUGAAAGCUUAAACUGGGGAGGAUGUUUGCCUUUCAGCAGGACAACAACCCAAAGCACACUGCCAGAGCAACCAUGGAGUGGCUUCAAAUGAAGAAAAUGAUGUCCUUGAGUGGUCCAGAUUUCUGACAAUCUGAUUGAACUUCCUUGGCAAGACCUCAAGAUUGCUGUCCACUGCUGCUCCCCAACUAACCUGGCACAGCUUGAAAAUUUUGCAAAGAAUGGGCAAAUCUUGCUGUGCAAAGCUAAUGGAGACUUAUUCAAAAUGACUACUGGCAGUAAUAGCUGCAAAAUGUAGCCCUUUUCAAAGUGCUAAGAAAAGGGGGAUGAAUACUUUGGAGCUUCUGACUCCUUAAGUUUUUCAUGCUUCACAAAGUUCCCUUUUUUUUUUAAAAGCUCUUCUGUAAAAAAGGAGCAUGUAAUUCACAAAUAAAAAUUCCCAGUUAAAUUGAUCAAAAUCCCUGGUUGCAAUAUUCAGUUAUAUGAACAAGAGGGUCAGGGGCUGUAUAC